CGUGGUCACACGGAGAGGGCCACGGGAGGGGUUACCCUCCCCUUUCGAAACGUUUUGAAACACAAUGCAAUCGUCCCCCUCGAAUCUUAUUGGAGCUCUCGUUGAAAAAGGCCCUACAGAUUUAUGUUAUACAACGUUUGACAUGUUUGAACGAACCUAAAUAAGAAAAAAAAUCAUUUUUUUGAAAGAGUAGCCCGCGCACGUCGGAACUUUUGGUGAAGCCUUCAGAACGCGCUAACAAGAACAAGCUAUUGGGACGUAAAGGACUCACUUUUUCAAACUAAAAUACAUUUGUUGUGGACCUGGGAAAUCCUGGAAGUGCCUAAGGAUGAAGAUAAUCAAAGGAGUCUGAGAUCCAAAGGCAAGGACCAUAGUGGCUGGGGGUAUCAUCGGAUGGGGCCACAGUGUCUUCUGAUCCCUCCUGUCUCAGCCUCCAAACCUGAGCCCUAGGACCAUGCCUCAGGACUACCUGGUAUGAUGACUCCUUUCUGUCCCCAGUCCACCUGGCCGUGCUGCUGCUCCAGUUUCAACUCUUCUGCCUGCGGCUAUGGAACCCUGACCUGUUCACCGGACGUGCUUGUUGCACCCUCGACAACUACUAUGAUUAUUAUUAUUUGACCAUGCUGGUCAUUUAUGAACAUUUUAACAUCUUGACCAUGUUCUGUUAUAAUAUCCACCCUGCACAGCCAGAAGAGGACUGGCCACCCCUCAUAGCCUGGUUCCUCUCUAGGUUUCUUCCUAGGUUUUUGGCCUUUCUAGGGAGUUUUUCCUAGGGAGUUUUUCCUAGCCACCGUGCUUCUUUCACAUGCAUUGCUUGCUGUUUGGGGUUUUAGGCUGGGUUUCUGUACAGCACUUUGAGAUAUCAGCUGAUGUACGAAGGGCUAUAUAAAUACAUUUGAUUUGAUUUGAUUUGAAGGCAGCCUCACCAAAUGUUGUGGUUCUGACCUUUUGGAACAACUAAAAUGCCAGUGCAUGAGGAUCUGAGGGACCGACCAGGCACAUAUCUUAAAAGCAUAUCACACAUGGGUGCAAGGCCAAGUAGUGAUUUUAAAAGCAAUAAAUCUAACAGGCAACCAAUGCAGGGACUUUAAAAAAGGGGUUAUGUAUGCAUUCCUUCUGGUCUUCAUUAAUUGGAGUUGGCUAAUAUUUUUUGGGGGGAAGAACAGACAGAGCCUUGCAAUAAUCAAGCCUGCUAGUAAUCAAAGCAUGCAUUAGUCUCUGUUUGCUUGGCAGAGAAACAGACACACUUUGGCAAUAUUUCUUAGGUGAUGAUAUAAAGCUGAUUUAGUAACAUUUCAGAUGUGGGCUUCAAUUGAGUUGUCUACAAUAACACCUAUGGUUUUUAACCUGAUUGGUUGCAUCUAAUGCCAAAGGCUGGACAUUUACCGCCAGCUUCUUUCUAUGGGCCUUGGCACCAAGAACCAGAACUUCUUAUCUUUGUUUAGCUGUAGGAAAGUUUCUGCCAUCUGAAUAGUUGUCAGUGAUUCACUCUUGUAAAAAAGGUUUAUUUGCGGAGUGAUUGUUCUACCAAGAACCAAUUUCAUCUGAACCCUUUUUGGAAGACAAGGGCAGAGAUUGUCUAUAUUGACAAGAUAUUCAAGUGACUGGUGUAACAAUAGAAAUACAUGUCCUCAAAGAUGGUAGUCAGGUGGGACCAUUCUAGCAAAUGCGAGGAAAGAUGCACGUGUGAACAACAUGCCGUAGAGAUCGAUGGAGGACUCAUCUUUGUAUUGGUGCCAUUUAUAGCAUCUGACAGCAUGGGCAGUGCCAUUAAGGCUAUCUCCAUUUUAAAGUAGUCAAUUUUCUUAUUGGCUGACUGCUCAACUGCUAGGAAUCCCCACCCACUUGACCGCCAUUGAGGGCUUCCACCAUUUUAAAGCAAUGUCAAUGCUGAAACGGGUUAUAUCCAUGAUGAGACCCUCUAUCUUUAUGAUAACAGGUGCAACUCUAUGAAGUCGUCUUUUUUUUCAAAGUUGCCAAAAUGUCCUCUAACUUUGUGUACAAAAUAUUAGGAACACCUUCCUUAUAUUGAGUUGCACCCCUUUUGCCCUCGGAACAGUCUCAAUUCGUCAGGACAUGACAAGGUGUCGUGUUCCAUUGGCUGUCUCAGCAUAUACCUACGGUGCAUUCGGAAAGUAUUCAGACCCCUUGGUUUUUUCCCACAUUUUGUUACAUUACAGCCUGUAUCUAAAAUGGAUACCAUUUCUUUUCUUAUCAAUCUACACAUUAUACCCGAUUUUAACAUUUUAGCAAAUGUAUUCAGACCCUUUGCUAUGAGACUCGAAAUUGAGCUCAGUUGUAUCCUGUUUCCAUUGAUCAUCCUUGAUGUUUUUACAACUUGAUUGGAGUCCACCUGUGGUCAAUUCAACUAAUUAGACUUGAUUUGGAAAGGUGCAUACCUGUCUAUAUGAGGGCCACCAGUAGACAGUGCAUGUCAGAGCAAAAACCAAGCCAUGUGGUCAACAGACAGGACCGUGUGGAUGCACAGAUCUGGGGAAGGGUACCAAAAACAAAUUCUGUAGCAUUGAAGUUCCCAUCAUGCCUCCAUCAUUCUUAAAUGGAAGAAGUUUUGGAACCACCAAGACUCUUCCUAGAGCUGGCCACCCGGCCAAACUGAGCAAUCGGGGGAGAAGGGCCUUGGUCAGGGAGGUAACCAAGAACCCCGAUGGUCACUCUGACAGAGCUCAGAGUUCCUAUGUGGAGAUGGGAGAACCUUCCAGGACAACCAUCUCUGCAGCACUCCACAAAUCAGGCUUUUAUGGUAGUGGCCAGACGUAAGCCACUCAGUAAAAGGCACAUGGCAGCCCGCUUGGAGUUUGCCAAAAGGCUCUUAAAGACUCUGACCAUGAGAUUCUCUGGUCUGAUGAAAUGCCAAGCGUCACGUCUGGAGGAAACCUGGCACCAUCCCUACGGUGAAGCGUGGUGGUGGCAGCCUCAUGCUGUGUUUUUCAGUGGCAGGGACUGGGAGACUAGUCAGGAUCGUUGGAAAGAUGAAUGGAGCAAAGUACAGAGAUCCUUGAUAACCUGCUUCAGAGCGCUCAGGACCUCAGACUGGGAUGACAGUUCACUUUCCAGCAGAACAAUGACCCUAAGCACAAUGAAGGAGUGGCUUCGGGACAAGUCUCUGAAUGUCCUUGAGUGGCCCAACCAGAGCCCGGACUUGAACCCGAUUGAACAUCUCAGCGACACUCCCCAUCCAACCUGACAGCGCUUGAGAGAAGAAUGGGGAAAACUCCCCAAAUACAGGUGUGCUCAGCUUGUAGUGUCAUGUCCAAGAAGACUCGUGGCUGUAAUCGCUUCCAAAGGUGCUUCAACAAAGUACUGCGUAAAGGGUCUGAAUACUUAUGUAUAUGUGAUAUUUCAGUUUUUUUUUUUGUAAUACAUUUGCAAAAUGCCAACUUGUUUUUACUUUGUCAUUAUGGGGCAUUGUGUGUAGAUUUGAUUUAAAAAUAACUACGGCUUUAACAUAAUGUGCAAAAAGGGAAGGGGUCUGAAUACUUUCCAAAUGCACAAAUAUUCCCAUAUACAAUGUAUGCAUCUGGUAUUCCCUUAAUCAUUUUACAUAUACAGUACUGACAUAGUUCAUCUCUUUGCCAUGAUUUCUGUCCUUGAGCUGCGUGUAGGAGAAUACAAGGGAAUGGGAACCAGCAAUGUAUUGUACACAGCAAAUUGUCCUGUUUUACCUACAGUUGAUUUUUCAGCAUUAAAUGUCUAGUGUUGAUUCAGGAGUUAAAUUAACUUAACAUUCAGUGGUGUAAAAGAACCCCUGUGUUGGUGUUAAUAACCAGAGUUGAUUGUGUAAUUUUUACUGUGUAGAGUAACUCUAAACCAUGCCCUUCAUCAUUUUUCCCAGCAUGCUCUAUUGCAGGUUCAUUUUCAGAAUUGUUUGUUUUAAUAUCUGUUUUUGCAUGUACAUUGAUUGGCUGAAUUUUAAAAGUAUGCUACACAAAGAUAACACAUAUAUAAAAAUCCAAUCAGUUAGCAGUUGGACUCUGUUACUGAGAUUGUUCCAGUUUAGAUUUAGGUCAGGGUUCCCCAACUGUCAACCAGCGGGUUAUAUUAUUUUGGACAUAAGACUGUCAACACCAGCCUACACAUUGUUUGUAAUUAAGUAAUGUCCCCCUGACCAUUCUUUCCAGAAAAAAAUUGGCUUGUGGUUCCCCUGGUAUAUACAGUACCAGUCAAAAGUUUGGACACCUACUCAUUCAAGAUAGAUCUUUUUUUAUUCUAUUUUCUACAUGGUAUAAUAGUGAAGAAAUCAAAACUAUGAAAGAACACAUGAAUCAUGUAGUAACAAAGUGUUAAACAAAUCAAAAUAUAUUUGAGAUUCUUCAAAUAACCACCCUUUGCCUUCAUGACAGCUUUGCACACUCCUGGCAUUCUCAACCAGCUUCAUGAGGUGCAAUGCAUUUCAUUUUACAGGUGUGCCUUGUUAUAAGUUAAUUUGUGGAAUUGCUUUUUGUCUUAAUGCGUUUGAGCCAAUCAGUUGUGUUGUGACAAGGUAGGGGUGUAUACAGAAGAUAGCCCUAUUUGGUAAAAGACCAAGUCCACAUUAUGGCAAGAACAGCUCAAAUAAGCAAAGAGAAACGACAGUCCAUCAUUACUUUAAGACAUGAAGGUCAGUCAAUCCGGAACAUUUCAAGAACUUUGAAAGUUUCUUCAAGUGCAGUCGCAAAAAACAUCAAGCACUAUGAUGAAACUGGCACUCAUGAGGACCGCCACAGGAAAGGAAGACCCAGAGUUACCUCUGCUGCAAUAGUAAAAUUAAAGAAACCCGCGAAUGAGUAGGUGUGUCCAAACUUUUGACUGGUACUGUAUAUACAGAAAAUAUUUCAAGUCAGUUCCAAUACCAGAUUUACAUGUGCAGGCCUGAUGUGGCCUGUAAACCAGGAGUUUCCUAACACCACUGUGUUAGGGUUUAACUAGGCCCUCAGAAAUAAAAUACUUUUGACAUGUAAUGUAUUGUCAAUUUAAUUUUAAAGGCUUCUAGGAAAAACCCUUCAAAGAUAAAGGGGUUCUUUUGUAGAACCGUUCAUAGAAGGUUGUGGCCAGAACCCUUCAAAGAUAAGAGUUCUUGGUAGAAUCAUUCAUAGAGGAUUUUGGGAAGAACUCUUUAAAGAGAGAAGGGUUCUAGGUAGAACCAUUUACAGGGGUUUCUAUGAAAAACCCUAGGGGGUUCUAAUUAGAACCCUUUGCAGAGGGUUCCACCUAACACCAAAAAGGGUUUCCUGUAUGGUUGUACUUAGCAUCACUUCUUUUUUUUCUAAGUGUACCUUCAAGUGUUAAUUGGGCUGACUUUGUCUAGUGCUAUAGCGACAUAAAGCUAUAUAUAUAUGUCAUCGGCAUAGAAAUGAAAAUGUACACGUUUCCAAAUGAUAAUACCAAGGGGUAACGUGUUAACUUUGAGGCACACCACAUGAGCGCAGUAAUUUCAGACACAAUUUCACCUAGAGCAACAAAAUAUUAUCUAUUUGUCCUAACCCAGUUCAGUACUAAGCCUGACAGGCCAACCCAAUUCUGGAGUCUGUUCAGGAGGAUAACGUUAUCUACUGUGUCGAAGUAUGCAUUUUAAUUAUUUUAUUUUUUGUUCAUUCUAUGGUCGUUUGCCACCUUGACUAGUGCAGUCUCGGCUGUGGUGGGCCCAAAGACCAGAUAGUAAAAAUAGAAUUUUUGGGGGGAAAUUACAAAGGAAGUCAUUGUUUAAACAAUUUAAGAAUUGUGCCUACAAAAGGAGGUUUAGAAAUUGGUCUAAUUGUUGAACUGAAGGAUCUAGUGUGAUUUUCUUAAGGGGUUUCUCUAAGGCAGCUGAAAAAGUGCAUGUGAACUGGGA
rnacentral:lncRNA from 1 species